rnacentral:lncRNA from 1 species
UUAAAUCGUACAAAACACAAAGUAUGCUACAUCUACAGGAACUGAUAUUGGUUGAGAGAAAAACCCCGGGCCUCUUCAAAGUUGCUACUGCCUGUAAUCGUGUAGCUGUCCUCUGGCGCAUGGUAUGAGUACUGUGAGUCCGAUGCAUGAUAUGAGUAGUGUGAGUCCGAUGCAUGGUAUGAGUAUGGGGGGACUUGCGCAUCCUGUGAGUAUUGUGGUUGAUAUGUAUUGUCCAAUCUGAUAAAUAAACUUAUUAUCCGGCAUGAAACAAAUGGACCAAACAUUAAUGAAAGCAAGGAGUAAAGAAACAAUUAACAUUGACUAACCUAUUUUGCACCAUAG